UACAGAGGUCUCAAGCGUUGUUCGGAUUCAUUGGGCGUAAAGGGUGCGUAGGUGGCGCGGUAAGUCGGGUGUGAAAUUUCGGAGCUUAACUCCGAAACUGCAUUCGAUACUGUUCGACUCGAAGGCAGGAGAGGGAAGUGGAAUUCCCGGUGUAGUGGUGAAAUGCGUAGAGAUCGGAAAGAACACCAACGGCGAAAGCACUCUGCUGGGCCGACACUGACACUGAGAGACGAAAGCUAGGGGAGCGAAUGGG
rnacentral:rRNA from 1 species